AUUCGGUUCAGUUCAGUUCAGUUUACAUCGUGCGUUUGGUGCGAGAGGUGUGUUUGGAAGGUAGUAGCGCGUGAUACGCGAACGAGAGACUGACAUAUCGCGCGGUAUAUGCGUGAGUGUGUGUGAGUGUGUAUGUAUGUCGCGUCAAAAGUAACUUGAAUCUCUUUUCACCAUCUAUAAUCAAGAAGACGUGCCAACGCGCGAACGAAUCAUCCAUAGAAAUUCUGCGGAAUGUUGCGGAACUUGAUACUGACGGAUUAACUGUCGGCCGGUGAAACGCCUGGGAUAGUUUUAAUCACCGUCCACAUCAUCGAACACAAUUACAGCCUGAUAUUUGGCCGUCGUGAACUCGCCAUAGUUUAAGAAAACGCGAAAUUCGUAACGAUACCAAAGAGUACAAAAUAGCAUGCCAAAUCAAAAGGGCAAGAUAUCGUCGAGCUGCUUCUUCCUAUUAUGCGUCUUUUUGAUUAGCUCGAUAUGGAGUGUUGUCGGAAGUCCCGUCCGAUACAGAACGAGACGCGAAGCGGAGGUAGCGUCGACCAACUGGACCGCGUUGGCCGACGAAUGGAUCGCGGCGAAGGCCAGGGCCGCCGAAAGGAUGGACAUUGCCAUAUUGCCGUUCAACGAGAGAUUCCGGGAACUACCCCCUACAGCUGAGACUUUUGUCGUUAACGGCACGAGUGCGGAACAGAUGGAACGGUUAAAUUACUCGCGGAUGCUGUGGGACAUGGAAACAGUUCAACCAAGUGGGCAUCUGUCCGGAUUCGUAGACAAAGCUCUCAAGCUCCUAGACUUGAGACAGGUAAUGAUGGAGGUGGAAACCUCCGUCAUGUCCAAAGUCUCCUGCACCGCUUGCAAAGUCGGAGCCGGUUUGCUGCAGCACUACAUAAAGAUCGGCAAGAGCGACAAGGAGAUCAUGGCUAGCAUCUACCAGUUCUGCGUGUCGCUUAACAUACAGAGUGCCCGAGUUUGUCACGGAGUCACUUUGCUCUUCGGGGGUGAGGUGAUCUACGUGUUGAAGCAGGUGAAUAUGGGUCCGGCGCAGAUUUGCAGCUUCGUGAUCGGUGAUGCAUGCGACGAUGCGUUCAAUCCGUUGCACGAGUGGGAAGUGGCCUUCCCUCCAGUAAAGAAACCGCCAAUCAAGCCGCCAAUACCGCCGCAGGAAGGUGCGCCGACCUUCAAGGUGUUGCACAUCUCCGACACGCACUACGAUCCGUAUUAUCAGGAGGGUGCGAACGCCGAGUGCAACGAGCCGCUCUGUUGUCGACUGACCAACGGUGCCCCGUUGACCGGUUCGGCCGGCGCUGGACGAUGGGGCGAUUACAGGAAAUGCGACACGCCCAAGAGAACGAUCGACCAUAUGCUCAAACACAUCGUGGACACGCAUUCGGACAUUGAUUACAUCUUGUGGACGGGUGAUUUGCCGCCUCACGACGUGUGGAAUCAAACUCGAGAAGAGAAUUUAAAAAUAUUGCGUGACACGGUCACGCAAAUGGUAGAGAUGUUUCCUGGUAUACCCAUAUUUCCAGCCUUGGGAAAUCACGAAUCAGCGCCGGUCAACAGCUUUCCACCUCCUUUUGUGCCUGAAGAGAACAGCAUCUCGUGGCUGUACGACGAGCUCGACAAGCAUUGGCGACGCUGGCUACCGGCCGGUGUAUCGCACACCGUCCGCCGUGGCGCCUUUUAUUCGGUCUUGGUGCGUCCUGGCUUCAGGAUUCUCUCGGUUAAUAUGAAUUACUGCAACAACAAGAACUGGUGGUUGUUGAUCAACAGCACGGACCCAGUCAGCGAGCUACAGUGGCUCGUAUACGAGUUGCAAGGCGCUGAGAUCAACGGCGAGAAGGUACACAUAAUUGGUCAUAUCCCACCAGGACAUUCCGACUGCCUUAAGGUGUGGUCGAGGAAUUACUACCACAUCAUCAAUCGUUACGAAUCAACGAUCACGGCCCAAUUCUUCGGACACACGCAUUAUGACGAAUUCCAGAUAUUCUAUGACACAUCGGACCUCGGCAGAGCUCUCAGCAUUGCCUAUGUCGGACCCUCGGUCUCACCUUACUACGAUCUUAAUCCCGGCUACAGGAUAUACUACGUCGAUGGGGAUCAUGCAAAGACCACGCGAAUGGUUGUCGAUCACGAGAGUUGGGUGAUGAACCUCAAGGAAGCGAAUUUGUACGACUAUCCGAUCUGGCACAAGUUGUACAGUGCGCGGCAAGCUUAUCAAAUGGCGUCACUUUUACCAAAGGACUGGGACUCCCUGAUCGAUAAGAUGACCAACGAGCCAGCCCUUUUUGAUCUCUAUUACAAACAUUACUACAAGAACUCACCGGUACGACCAGCGUGUAACGAUGAGUGUCGUAAGAGGUUGCUGUGCGACUUGCGCAGCGGGCGUAGCCACGAUCGCAAGGCUCUGUGUCAAAGCCUCGAAGCGAGGAUCGACAUCGAGACGAGAACUGGAUGGCGAGCGUGGAUUUACAAGGGACUCGCACUAUCGUACGUAAAGGAUAUGUGGCUGCAUCUUUAUUCUGGCAACACUGAGACUAACGAAGUCGAUUAAUCAAUUAAAUAGUAGUAGCUACUCAUUUGGAGAAUUUCUCCAUGCUGUGAUUCAUUAUUAUACGCGUUCUUCAUUCGCAAUAAUUUAAUAGAUAAUAUAUUCGACGUAAGAAUAGGGAACGGAGGAUAUUACGGCUCAUAUGAUGACGCGAAAGAGCGUUUCAAUCCAAAACUUUGAUAAUUUGAACAGUUACAAUUAAACAAUAGAAUUAACUAACAAAUCAGAUAGCAUUGUAGUAGUAACAUUAUAAUCGAACGUGUUCGUGUUAACACGAUAAUUCCGGUUUGAGUACGAUUAAUUAAGUAAAGAUACUACGCACCAUAGUAAUACGUAAUUAACAAAAAUGUACAUGUCAAUAACAGCAAUUUAAUUUGUUGCAAUUGUCAGUUGAAUAACUUGUUGAUCAAUUUGUGCAUGCAUACAUACAUACAUGUAUAGAGAGUGUUCCCUUGUCAGUGCCAAAAUUGAUACAGUGGCUUUAGGUAAUAAAGUUGCUUUCUUAAGACAAUAUAAAUUGAAAUAAAUGUUUUUAAUGUUCUUUAUUUUGUUUAAAGCUUUACAAAACAUGUUCAAAAAUUCUUCCGUCGACUUCGAUACACUUCCAUUAUCAUUAAUGUGUUAUGUUUGUGUGACCUUAGUAAAUAUGUUAUGUGCACAACGUAGGAGAGGCAUUAAAUAACUUAAUACUCGAAAAACUCGUUAGAAUUCGGACAUAUGUUUAUUAACAUUUUCAACUUGUUUUCAUGUCCUAAAGCCGCUGUAUCAAUUUUGGCACUGAGUUCAGAGACACCCUGUAUAUACAUAUAUAUUAACAAUUAAUACAUUAAUACGUGCAUAUUUUGUGUAAGAAUUAAGCACAAUUCAUAUACAUAUGCAUAUUCAAUAUGUGCAUCAUCUAUUAAUUAAUGUGACAUAUCCCGUCUUUCUAUAAUCGUUCAGAGUUUAUAUAUGUUAUUAUACGCGCACGUACACACACACAAUGUCAAACCUUGAUAAAACGCAUGAUAAAAUCGAUUCAACGUUUAGUAUGUAGCAGUUAUAUUCUUUUCAUGUCAUUCGAGAAUUGCAGCUUGUUAGAAAUCAACAUACAAUUUCUAUUCGAUCUCUCGAAAAGCUUAACAAACAAAUCAUCAAUUCGGUAACAUCUAUUGUCAACUUAUUUAGAAAUGUAUACACAUGUAUGCGAAUAUUUCCAUCACACUCGAACGAGCUUUUUUUGAGUAAGAAACAUAAUGAUAAGAUCUCCAAUUCUUCGUAUGUUUCAGAGGUUUCUUUGCAAUGUGGCAUUAUAAAUUUAUGUUCCUUUAUACUUUACCGUUUAGGCUUCUACACACAACGAAGUUAGAAUUAUAAAAAAGAAAAAAAAAGAAAGAGAGAAGGAAUGCAUGCUAUACAAGGUAGAAAGAUUACGUUGUAAUUAAUUGUGUGCCUCAUGGAUCGAAAUAUAUGCUGUUUGUACAUAUUCUUUCCUAAUAUAAAAAUUCUUUCAAUAAAAUAAAUAAUAUGAAACGGU
rnacentral:misc_RNA from 1 species